AUGACGUUUUUACAGUAUAUCAAGGUUCCUUGUAUCUCUCAUUUCAGAUGCACAUCGAGAAAGAGAAGGAAACCGGAGGGAUCAUCUGCCUUUUCAUCUGCCACCUCUAGUCACUACGCUGCAAUCACCGAAGCAAGACCGUUUAACCUGCUCGCACAUUCUCAGAUGAUGGAUGUCAGCAUCAACCCAGUCAUGGCUCGUGCUCACCUCAAUGGUGUUCGAGUGCUUGACGUGCCAGCGACCGCUCAGAUGAUGUGUGCCAACGUACUACAGCAGGCUCUUCUCGAUGGUGUUCGAGUGCUUGACUUGCCAGAGGCCGCUCACAUGCACUCGAACACCAUCAACCUUACCAACAUACUGCAGCGGGCUCUUCUCGAUGGUGUUCGAGUGCUUGACAUGCCAGAGGCCGCUCACAUGAUGUGCGCCAACGUACUACAGCAGGCUCUUCUCAAUGGUGUUCUAGUGCUUGACUUGCCAGAGGCCGCUCACAUGAUGUGCGCCAACCUUACCGACAUCCUGCAGCGGGCUCUUCUCGAUGGUGUUCGAGUGCUUAACAUGCCAGAGCCCCCUCACAUGAUGUGCGCCAACGCUCGACAGCCGCCGCAUCACAAAAAUGUUCUAGUGCUUGACUUGCCAGAGGCCGCUCACAUGAUGUGCGCCAUCCUUACCAACGUACUGCAGCAGGCUCUUCUCGAUGGUGUUCGGGUGCUUGACUCGCCAGAGGCCGCUCACAUGAUGUGCGCCAACCUUACCGAUGUACUGCAGCAGGCUCUUCUCGAUGGUGUUCGAGUUCCUGGCUUGCCCGAGGCCGCUCACAUGAUGUGCGCCCACCUUACCGACGUAUUGCAGCAGGCUCUUCUCGAUGGUGUUCGGGUGCUUGACUUGCCAGAGGCCGCUCACAUGAUGUGCGCCAACCUUACCAACAUAUCGCAGCGGGCUCUUCUCGAUGGUGUUCGAGGGCCUGACAGGCCACCGGCCGCUCACAUGAUGUGCGCCAACGUACUACAGCAGGCUCUUCUCGAUGGUGUUCUAGUGCUUGACUUGCCAGAGGCCGCUCACAUGAUGUGUGCCAACCUUACCAACGUACUGCAGCGGGCUCUUCUCGAUGGUGUUCUGGGUGCUUGA
rnacentral:lncRNA from 12 species